rnacentral:rRNA from 1 species
UACAGAGGUCCCGAGCGUUGUUCGGAUUUACUGGGCGUAAAGGGUGCGUAGGUGGCAGGGUAAGUUCGGUGUGAAAGCUUCGAGCUCAACUCGGAAACGGCAUUGAAUACUAUCCUGCUUGAGGAUCGGAGGGGAGACUGGAAUUCUCGGUGUAGCAGUGAAAUGCGUAGAUAUCGAGAGGAACACCAGUGGCGAAGGCGGGUCUCUGGACGAUUCCUGACACUGAGGCACGAAAGCUAGGGGAGCAAACAGG